rnacentral:tRNA from 1 species
UGGAUCACCUCCUAACAGGGAGACAACACAAUGAUUUUGAUGCCUGAGUGCUUUUAUUCUUAGGCCGAAAUCCUGUCACCUUAGGUCGAUCGGUACCUCAGCUUUGAAGUCAAGGAUCAGCAGCAGUGUUGAUUGCUUGAUGGAGAUUUUCAGUUCCUAAACUUUGUCUAGGUCACACCCCAAAAGGGAUGAGACUCCUGGGCCAUUAGCUCAGGUGGUUAGAGCGCACCCCUGAUAAGGGUGAGGUCCCUGGUUCAAGUCCAGGAUGGCCCAUUCGGUGUUGGGGGUUUAGCUCAGUUGGUAGAGCGCCUGCUUUGCAAGCAGGAUGUCAGGAGUUCGAGUCUCCUAACCUCCACUGACCGAACUUGAUUCCCAUCUCCAAUUUUUUGGAGUUGAGCUCGAUUGGAGUGUGAUUUAGAUGUGUCCGCUGGAUGACCCCAGCUUCCUGUCAUUCCAAGUUUUAGAUUUUAAGUCUUGAAUUUGGUUGAUAAGAUGCUGGGCUCGGAUCAAAUAAUCAAGCAAUUGAUGAUUUGAUUUGAAGUUCUAGCAGAACCUUGACAACUGCAUAGGUGAGUCUGGAAAAAACAAAGCAUCUUACAGAUGCAUUGUUUUGAAUCUGAUCUUCUGAAGGGGAGAUUGGAUCCAGAACAAUGAAAAUUCUUUUGAGCAAGAGCCGAGACUCUUGAGUGUUCUUUGAUUGGUGUCGAGCCAAUCAGAGUUUGAUCUUGUUUUUAGCAAUAAAAACUUGAGAAUCUGCUUUCAACGGCGGUAAGCGUUCAGGAGGUUAAUUGGUCAAGCUACAAAGGGCUCACGGCGGAUACCUUGGCACACAGAGGCGAUGAAGG